UUGAACGCUGGCGGCAUGCCUUACACAUGCAAGUCGAGCGGCAGCGCGGGGGCAACCCUGGCGGCGAGCGGCGAACGGGUGAGUAAUACAUCGGAACGUGUCCAGUAGUGGGGGAUAACCAGUCGAAAGAUUGGCUAAUACCGCAUACGAUCUACGGAUGAAAGCGGGGGACCGCAAGGCCUCGCGCUAUUGGAGCGGCCGAUGUCGGAUUAGCUUGUUGGCGGGGUAAAAGCCCACCAAGGCGACGAUCCGUAGCUGGUCUGAGAGGACGAUCAGCCACACUGGAACUGAGACACGGGCCAGACUCCUACGGGAGGCAGCAGUGGGGAAUUUUGGACAAUGGGGGCAACCCUGAUCCAGCCAUGCCGCGUGAGUGAAGAAGGCCUUCGGGUUGUAAAGC
rnacentral:rRNA from 1 species